rnacentral:rRNA from 1 species
UACGUAGGGUGCAAGCGUUAAUCGGAAUUACUGGGCGUAAAGCGUGCGCAGGCGGUUAUGUAAGACAGAUGUGAAAUGCCCGGGCUUAACCUGGGGAACUGCAUUUGUGACUGCAUGGCUAGAGUUUGGCAGAGGGGGGGUAGAAUUCCACGUGUAGCAGUGAAAUGCGUAGAUAUGUGGAGGAACACCGAUGGCGAAGGCAGCCCCCUGGGUCAAGACUGACGCUCAUGCACGAAAGCGUGGGGACAAACAGGG